rnacentral:ncRNA from 1 species
GCAGAGUAGGCGGUUGCGCGUUAAGUGUUGUGCGGACGGGGAGUUGCCGCACAAACGAAAAGCCGGAUUUUCCGGAGCUUGCGGUGCAGCUGUCGCAUCCCGCUGC